GAGUCAGUGUGAGAUCAGUCAGAGAGGGAGUGAGUGAGAUCAGAGAGGCCUUAGGGCUGAGGUCCGGUUGGACACCAUCAGUGUGAGGUCCAGUGUUGGGCACAUUGCAGUGACCAUCCAACAGGACCAUGAAGGUCCUUGUGAUGGCUCUCGCUGCCCUCCUGCCUGUGUGCAGUGCGCUCCACAAGCCUCAGGUGUUGAGAUACUUACACACACUGGUGUCAGCGGACGGAGAACUUCCAGAGUACUACUGUGCUGUGAUGUUGGAGGAUGUUGAGAUCUAUCACUACGACAGCAACAGUGAGAGAAUUGUCAGUCGGAUUCCCGGUGUUCAGACGGCUGUUAGAGAACAGCGCUUCCCUGUACGUGUGGAGAGGGUGAAGGCAGAUUAUAUGACGGUGAAGGAGAAUAUGUUGUAUAUGAUGAAGAGGAGGAAUAUUACGAGCGGGGCUCACUAUGGCCAGGUGUUGUCUGGCUGUGAGGUGAGGGAGGACGGCACUACAGACGGACACAUCACAGUCGCGUUCGAUGGGGAAGAUUUUCUCAGCUUUGACAAAAACGACCUGAGAUGGAUUUCUGCUGCUCCCGAGGCUCAGACCCUGAGACGGAAACUGGACAACGACAGAGACAUGAAUCAGUAUUGGAAACAGAAACUGGAGAAUGAUUGUCUUAAUCGGAUGGAGGAAUACUAUCAGUAUUCAAAGUCCACCUUCCAGCGACAGAGCCGCCCUGACGUCUCAGUCAGUUACAGGAGGGACGUGGGGGGGAGAGCCCUUCUCUCCUGUCUUGUUACUGGCUUCUAUCCGCGGCCCAUCGAGGUGACCUGGACAAGGGACGGCAACACUGUCCACGAGGUGGAGUCCAGCGGUGUAUUACCCAACCACGACCACACCUUUCAGACAGUGAAGCAGAUGGAGCUGGAGACGGGCUCCGCGGGGGAGCAGGGCUUCUCCUGUCUGGUGGAGCACAGCAGCCUCCAGGGGGUGUUGGAGGUGCCGUGGGAUGGGAAAACAAAGAAAACUCCGUCCGGUUCCACUUCCUGGAUCCCGGGCCGGAUCAUUUUGCAGGCGUCUGGGAUUGUUGUUGGGAUUCUCGUCUGAAAAUGAGAAAAGGACCCGGGACUCACCAGUACAGCCGUCCAUCCAGUAAGUGAAUAACAGUGCGGCUGUACACCGGGUCAGACUACACUCUGCAAGUGGACGUGUGUGACGUGUUCUCUGCUCACCUCACUGUCAAACCCUACAAUGUGAAGAAAGCGGCCAAUCAUCCAAUGGUCAAUUAACAGAACCUGGGAGUCUCCAGUCCCACCGUCCAUCAGUCAGUGAGUAACAGUGAGGCUGAACACGUACCAAUGGACAUGAACUCAGUGACAUGUGUAAUAAAUAAACCCAGUCCCUGCUCUUUGUGAAGAGGAGCAGCGCAUAAACAUACUUUAUAUUAAUUUUUUAUACACUUUUUGUGAACAUCUUUUAUAAACUUGUGACUUUUAUAUAAAAUGAAGAGAAUUGUUGUAUUUAUAUAAAUACAAAGAAUGUUUCAUAUACAGUGUAUAUAACCGAUUAGAUUUAUUUGUAGCAUUAAAGGAAUGUGUGUGAUGUGUAACACGGCUGUACAGGAAGGUUGUGUCACCUGUAACCAGUCUGUGUAACAGCAGCUCAUGUGUGUUCUGCGCUGUGAUUCACAGAACAUUUAUUCUUUGUGAGUUUCAGCAACAAAUCAAAAUAAACUGUGACACAAAC